CGGUGAAUUCGACCAUGGUUUUGUUGAUUUAGAGAAACAUCACCGGGUAGAAUUCAUCCAG
rnacentral:pre_miRNA from 1 species